rnacentral:rRNA from 1 species
CUGCAGCUCAAGUGGUGACCGCUAUUAUUGGGCCUAAAACGUUCGUAGCCGGUUUGGUAAAUGUUUGGGUAAAUCGUGUAGCUUAACUAUACGAAUUCCGGAUAGACUGCCAAACUUGAGACCGGGAGAAGCUAGAGGUACUCCUGGGGUAGAGGUGAAAUUCUGUAAUCCUAGGGGGACCACCAGUGGCGAAGGCGUCUAGCUAGAACGGGUCUGACGGUGAGGAACGAAGCCCUGGGGCGCAAACCGGAUUAGAGACCCGAGUAGUCC